UUCGCAAUGCCCGAAAGGGUGACGAAGCGACGCCGCGUGGGUGAGGAAGGCCCUCGGGUUGUAAAGCCCUGUCAGGAGUUAAGAAAUGUAUGUGUGUUAAUACCACAUUUAUUUGACGAAGGCUCCAAAGGAAGCCACGGCUAACUCUGUGCCAGCAGCCGCGGUAAUACAGAGGUGGCAAGCGUUGUUCGGAAUUAUUGGGCGUAAAGAGCACGUAGGUGGGUUUGUAAGUCAGAUGUGAAAGCCUUCUGUUCAACGGAAGAAUUGCAUCUGAAACUGCGAAUCUUGAGUGUAGGAGGGGAGAAUGGAACUUCUGGUGGAGCGGUGAAAUGCGUAGAUAUCAGAAGGAACGCCGGCGGCGAAAGCGAUUCUCUGGCCUAUUACUGACACUCAGUGUGCGAAAGCUAGGGGAGCAAACGGGAUUAGAUACCCCGGUAGUCCUAGCCGUAAACGAUGGGCACUAAGUAGAGGGGUUUU
rnacentral:rRNA from 2 species